AACGAACGCUGGCGGCAUGCCUAACACAUGCAAGUCGAACGAGAUCUUCGGGUCUAGUGGCACACGGGUGCGUAACGCGUGGGAAUCUGCCCUUUGGUUCGGAAUAACAGUUGGAAACGACUGCUAAUACCGGAUGAUGACGAAAGUCCAAAGAUUUAUCGCCAGAGGAUGAGCCCGCGUAGGAUUAGCUAGUUGGUGUGGUAAAGGCGCACCAAGGCGACGAUCCUUAGCUGGUCUGAGAGGAUGAUCAGCCACACUGGGACUGAGACACGGCCCAGACUCCUACGGGAGGCAGCAGUGGGGAAUAUUGGACAAUGGGCGAAAGCCUGAUCCAGCAAUGCCGCGUGAGUGAUGAAGGCCUUAGGGUUGUAAAGCUCCUUUACCCGGGAUGAUAAUGACAGUACCGGGAGAAUAAGCUCCGGCUAACUCCGUGCCAGCCGCCGCAGUAA
rnacentral:rRNA from 1 species